UACGGAGGGUGCAAGCGUUAUCCGGAUUCACUGGGUUUAAAGGGUGCGUAGGCGGGCAGGUAAGUCAGUGGUGAAAUCCUUGAGCUUAACUCGAGAACUGCCAUUGAUACUAUCUGUCUUGAAUAUUGUGGAGGUAAGCGGAAUAUGUCAUGUAGCGGUGAAAUGCUUAGAUAUGACAUAGAACACCUAUUGCGAAGGCAGCUUACUACGCAUAUAUUGACGCUGAGGCACGAAAGCGUGGGGGAUCAAACAGG
rnacentral:rRNA from 1 species